rnacentral:rRNA from 1 species
UACGAAGGGUGCAAGCGUUAAUCGGAAUUACUGGGCGUAAAGGGUGCGUAGGCGGUUCGUUAAGUCUGUCGUGAAAUCCCCGGGCUCAACCUGGGAAUGGCGAUGGAUACUGGCGAGCUAGAGUGUGUCAGAGGAUGGUGGAAUUCCCGGUGUAGCGGUGAAAUGCGCAGAUAUCGGGAGGAACACCCGUAGCGAAGGCGGCACUCUGGGCCGGAACUGACGCUGAGGAGCGAAAGCGUGGGGAGCAAACGGG